rnacentral:rRNA from 1 species
CCUACGGGAGGCAGCAGUGGGGAAUAUUGCACAAUGGAGGAAACCCUGAUGCAGCGACGCCGCGUGCGUGAAGAAGUAUUUCUGUAUGUAAAGCUCUAUCAACAGGGAAGAAAAUUACGGUACCUGAGUAAGAAGCCCCGGCUAACUCCGUCCCAGCCGACGCGGUCAUACGUAGGUGGCAAUCGUUAUCCGGAUUUACUGGGUGUAAAGGGAGCGUAGACGGCAGCACAAGCCUGGAGUUAAAUGCCGGGGAUUAACCCCGGAACUGCUUUGGAAACUUUGGAGCUAGAGUGCAGGAGAGGUAAGUGGAAUUCCUAGUGUAGCGGUGAAAUGCGUAGAUAUGAGGAGGAACACUAGUGGCGAAGGCGGCUUACUGGACUGUAACUGACGUUGAGGCUCGAAAGCGUGGGGAGCAAACAGGAUUAGAUACCCUGGUAGUC